AUCCUUCUGGUUCUAACAAAUGAUGAUUGGUCCUUUCACAAACAUUUGUGAUAUGUGCAGCCUAUCCGUUACGCUAUGCACAUUGACCAUCUGAUC